GAUAUUUCAUUACAUUCCCAUCUUUCAAGUGGUGUAACGUUCAGCACCAUCAAGUCCACAAGCCAGUUUAACUAACAAAUGACUUAUGGAGGCAAACUCUUUCAUCUUACAUACAUAUUAGGCUGGGUAUCACAUCAAUAUAAGAGGAGUCCCCAAAAUUC